rnacentral:rRNA from 1 species
GGAUUAGAUACCCUGGUAGUCCACGCCCUAAACGAUGUCGACUAGCUGUUGGGUUCAUAAAAGAACUUAGUGGCGCAGCUAACGCGUUAAGUCGACCGCCUGGGGAGUACGGCCGCAAGGCUAAAACUCAAAGGAAUUGACGGGGGCCCGCACAAGCGGUGGAGCAUGUGGUUUAAUUCGAUGCAACGCGAAGAACCUUACCAGGUCUUGACAUCCUAGGAACUUGGCAGAGAUGCCUUGGUGCCUUCGGGAACCUAGAGACAGGUGCUGCAUGGCUGUCGUCAGCUCGUGCCG